rnacentral:rRNA from 1 species
UACGUAGGGGCAAGCGUUGUCCGGAUUUAUUGGGCGUAAAGAGCGUGUAGGCGGCCAGGUAGGUCAGCUGUGAAAACUCGAGGCUCAACCUCGAGACGUCGGUUGAAACCACCUGGCUAGAGUCCGGAAGAGGAGAGUGGAAUUCCUGGUGUAGCGGUGAAAUGCGCAGAUAUCAGGAAGAACACCCGUGGCGAAGGCGGCUCUCUGGGACGGUACUGACGCUGAGACGCGAAAGCGUGGGGAGCGAACAGGG